CCCUUAGAUGUUCUGGGCAGCACGCGCGCUACAAUGGUCUUCGCAAACGGAUGCAUUCUCGAAGGAGAAUGCCAAUCUUGGAAUCUAUGCCUUGGUCGGGACAGUUGCUUGCAAUUUUUCGACUCGAACCAGGAAUUCCUUGUAAUCGUGAUUCAUCACAUCACGAUGAAUACGUCCCUGCCCUUUGUACACAUCGCCCGUCGCUCCUACCGAUCGAAGAGUUAGGUGAAUUGUUUUGAUCGAUAAGAUUUGACUAUGGUCAACUCUCGUUGUGAAAUUCUGUGAAUCUGACUGUUUAGAGGAAGGAAAAGUCGUAACA
rnacentral:rRNA from 1 species